UACGUAGGGUGCGAGCGUUGUCCGGAAUUAUUGGGCGUAAAGAGCUCGUAGGCGGUGUGUCGCGUCGGCCGUGAAAACCUGGGGCUUAACUCUGGGCGUGCGGUCGAUACGGGCAUCACUAGAGUUCGGCAGGGGAGACUGGAAUUCCUGGUGUAGCGGUGAAAUGCGCAGAUAUCAGGAAGAACACCCGUGGCGAAGGCGCUCUGCUGGACCAUAACUGACACUCAGGGACGAAAGCUAGGGGAGCGAAUGGG
rnacentral:rRNA from 1 species